rnacentral:rRNA from 1 species
CAUCUUUUCUUGUUAGUUUCUGAAGUAUGGCCUGCCCACUGACUUGGAGUUGAAGGGCCGCGGUAUUUUGACCGUGCAAAGGUAGCAUAAUCAUUAGUUCUUUAAUUGUGAUCUGGUAUGAAUGGCUUGACGAGACAUAAGCUGUCUUAGAAGUAUUGGUUUAUUGAAUUUGGUUUUUGAGUUAAAAUUCUUAAAUGUUUUUAUGGGACGAGAAGACCCUAUAGAGUUUGACAAUUUUCCUAUUUAUUCGUUGUUUGUUUUAUUUACAUUGAGUGGGAGUGAAUUGUUUUGUUGGGGUGAUGGGAGGAAUAUUGUUUAACUCCUCUUUGUUUUUAUAUAUUUAUGUAUAUAUUUUUGAUCCAUUUAUUUUGAUUAUAAGAUUAAAUUACCUUA